rnacentral:rRNA from 1 species
AUUGAACGCUGGCGGCAGGCCUAAAACAUGCAAGUCGAACGAGUGGCGGACGGGUGAGUAAUGUCUGGGAACCUGCCCGAUGGAGGGGGGUAAAUAUUGGAAACGGUAGCUAAAACCGCAUACUGUAGGAUGUGCCAAGAUGGGGGUAGCUGGUAGGUGAGGUAGCGGAUCACCUAGGCGACGAGCCCAAGCUGGUCUGAGAGGAGGACCAGCCACCCUGGAACUGAGCCACGGUCCAGACUCCUACGGGAGGCAGCAGUGGGGAAUAUUGCACAAUGGGCGCAAGCCUGAUGCAGCCAUGCCGCGUGUAUGAAGAAGGCCUUCGGGUUGUAAAGUACUUUCAGCGGUGAGGCGUUACCCGCAGAAGAAGCACCGGCUAACUCCGUGCCAGCAGCCGCGGUAAUUC